rnacentral:misc_RNA from 1 species
AUGUUCAAAUCUUCAUUGCGGGCAUUUUCCACUUCAAAAGCAGCGAGAACUCUACUUGAAAGAGAGCUCUAUCAAUUUUCAGGGAAACUCGGUUGUCCGGUUCAUUUUAAACGAUAAGAAAGUGAACACGCUGUCCCUGGCAAUGAUCAAUGAACUAUUUGCGGAGUUGAAGGCUAUUGACAAGAUUGAAAAAGUUCGAUCAGUAAUUAUUGCUCAUAAUGGCAAAUCCUUUUCCGCCGGACACGAAUUGAAAGAGCUCACUACAGAGAGCGGGUCUGAUAAACACAAUGAAAUUUUCAACACGUGCGGUGACAUGAUGAACUUCAUCCGCAAUAUGAAAGUUCCUGUGAUUGCAGAAGUUAAUGGGACUGCAGCUGCGGCUGGCCUACAGCUUGUUGCCUCCUGUGAUGUCGUUGUUGCUGGAAAAAGUUCGAAAUUUUUAGUUCCAGGACAGAAGCUCGGAUUAUUCUGCUCGACACCUGGAAUCGCUCUUGUGCGUGCAGUACCACGUAAAGUAGCAAUGGACAUGCUUCUGACUGCUCAACCAAUCGACUCGGAAGCUGCUCUUCGAAGUGGACUUGUCUCCCGCGUGGUUGAAGACGAUCAAGUCAAGUUCGAAGCGCUCAAUGUCGCCGAACAAAUUGGGCACUUCAGCCGCUCAGUGACGGCUCUUGGAAAAGCGUUCUUCUAUACACAAGCAGAAUUGAGCACUGUGGAUGCGUACAGAUAUGGUUCCCGAGUGAUGGUUGGAAAUCUGAAGCUCAAGGAUUGCCAAGAAGGAAUUUCUGCAUUUAUUGGAAAACGACCUGCAGACUUCGAGCACACAAACGAUCUUGUUGAGGAAGUGAAAAAGAAUUAA